rnacentral:rRNA from 1 species
GUAGUCCACGCCGUAAACGAUGAACACUAGUUAUUGGGGGUAUUGACUCCCUCAGUGACGCAGCUAACGCAUUAAGUGUUCCGCCUGGGGAGUACGGCCGCAAGGCUAAAACUCAAAACAAUUGACGGGGGCCCGCACAAGCGGUGGAUUAUGUGGUUUAAUUCGAAGCAACGCGCAGAACCUUACCUAGGCUUGAACUCCUCAGAAUUCGACGUAAUGGUUGAAGUGCCCGCAAGGGAAUUGAGUGAGAGGUGCUGCAUGGCUGUCGUCAGCUCGUGUUGUGAAAUGUUGGGUUAAGUCUCGCAACGAGCGCAACCCCUAUCGUCUGUUGCCAGCAUUAAGUUGGGCACUCUGGCGAGACUGCCUGGGUUAACCAGGA